UGCCAGCCGCCGCGGUAAUACGGAGGGUGCAAGCGUUGUUCGGAAUUAUUGGGCGUAAAGCGCGUGUAGGCGGUUCGUUAAGUCUGAUGUGAAAGCCCGGGGCUCAACCCCGGAAGUGCAUUGGAAACUGGCGAACUUGAGUACGGGAGAGGAAAGUGGAAUUCCGAGUGUAGGGGUGAAAUUCGUAGAUAUUGGGUAGAACACCAGUGGCGAAGGCGGCCAUCUGGCACGAUACUGACGCUGAGGCGCGAAAGCGUGGGGAGCAAACAGGAUUAGAUA
rnacentral:rRNA from 1 species